AAAGGUUUUGUUGAAUGAAAUGCCAUUUUUUUUUGUUUUUUCCCUUAGGGAACAAUAAGAAAAUUUCUCUUUUUGAGCCAAUCUCCUUCUGAAACGAGCUCCAGGAGUGGUCACAACCUGCCAUAAAAAUGCCAUGUGCAAGAGGAUAUAUUUCAUAUCGGGCAAGCAGGCUGGGACGAUACGAUCUGUUUGGGGUUUGAAGCACCAAGGUUCUGACUCUGCUCCUUGGGAACCUUCCAUUCCCUGUGUAGGGUUGGGUUCAGCCCAACUCAGACAGAUGGAUUUCCAAAAUCUCCUCCAAAGCCGAAGACCGAUCUCUGUAAAUCCCUUUAAAAUCUGAAGAUGAAUCUCCAAAAAUCUCCUCCAAAGCUGAAGAUCAGCUAAACCUCCUCCAAAGCUGAAGAUCAGCCCCAGCCCCAGCCCCACCCACCUGAGGGAUGAGCUGGUGCUGGGUGUGCCUGGAAAAACUCCUCCCACAGCCCAGGUGAGCCCAAAAUCUGCUGUAAACCCUGCUUUAAACCCUGCUGUAAACCCUGCUGUAAACCCUGCUGUAAACCCUGCACCACCAAUGUCAAGCAUCCCCUGCCCCAGGCACUGAUCCAGCCCAGCUUUGCCCCCUCAGUCCCACCUCAUCCUCCCAGCAAACCUCAUCAGCAAGCACUAAUUAACCCAGAGGUCCUUCCCAGGGCUGCUCCCGUGCCUGCUGGGAGCAGAGCUGGCAGAGUGAAGUCAUUUUUGUGCCCUGUGUCAUCAGGCUGAUGUCAGGGCUGCUGUCAGGGCGGUGUUUAUGAAGCUGGAGGUCGAUAUUAAAUACUGGAUUUAGGAUCCAUUGGCAGGGCUGCAGCUCAGACUGGGUUUGACCUUCCUUGGCUGACAGGGAGCCAGAGGGGAUUUUCCAUGGCAUGGAGUUAAAGGAGUUUCCACUGCCCAGCUUUCUCCUCUGCCUCCACCAUAUCACAGUCCCAGCUCUCUUUGGGAGUCAUAAAAAAAGAUUUCUCGGAGGAAAUAAUAAAAAUUUAUGGAAGAAAUCUCCAGAGAACAAAACAUCAAAC
rnacentral:lncRNA from 1 species